rnacentral:rRNA from 1 species
ACCAGACUCCUACGGGAGGCAGCAGUGGGGGAUAUUGGACAAUGGGGGAAACCCUGAUCCAGCGACGCCGCGUGAGUGAAGAAGUAUUUCGGUAUGUAAAGCUCUGUCAGCAGGGAAGAAAGAAAUGACGGUACCUGACUAAGAAGCCCCGGCUAACUACGUGCCAGCAGCCGCGGUAAUACGUAGGGGGCGAGCGUUAUCCGGAUUCACUGGGUGUAAAGGGAGCGUAGACGGCCAAGCAAGCCAGGGGUGAAAGCCCGGGGCCCAACCCCGGGACUGCCCUUGGAACUGCAUGGCUGGAGUGCGGGAGGGGCAGGCGGAAUUCCUGGUGUAGCGGUGAAAUGCGUAGAUAUCAGGAGGAACACCGGCGGCGAAGGCGGCCUGCUGGACCGCAACUGACGUUGAGGCCCGAAAGCGUGGGGAGCAAACAGGAUUAGGUACCCGAGUA